rnacentral:rRNA from 1 species
UACGAAGGGGGCGAGCGUUGUUCGGAUUUACUGGGCGUAAAGGGCGCGCAGGCGGCUUUGUUUGUCAGGCGUGAAAGCCCCGGGCUUAACCUGGGAACUGCGUUUGAUACGGCAGGGCUAGAGUUCGGGAGAGGAGAGUGGAAUUCCUGGUGUAGCGGUGAAAUGCGCAGAUAUCAGGAAGAACACCCGUGGCGAAAGCGGCUCUCUGGAACGGUACUGACGCUGAGACGCGAAAGCGUGGGGAGCGAACAGG